GCUGGCAGCGCUGCUGGGGUUGUGUUGCGGUCCUGAGUCAGCUUAUCUUCCCCUGGAUCCCUCUUCCUAUUCUCACCCUGGCUCCCGAGUCCUCAGUGCUGAUAGGGUGGAGCAGAUGACCAAGACCUACAAUGACAUUGAGGUUGUCACACAUCUACUGGCUGAGCGGGACCGGGACUUGGAGCUGGCCGCUCGG